AGGUCGUAACAAGGUUUGACCGUCUUGGGUGAGAGCCAGCGGCAAUCGAGAGAUCGUGGCAUAACCAAGCCUGCUCGGACGACUGGAGAAACCCUUCUGGACGGCCACCACGGCCGGCUGCUGCGGCUUGUGGGCGUUCGUGCCCCGCUACCAGUCGAAACGACGAACCUGCGCAACCAUUGCGUGUUGAGCCCGUGGGCGUCGUAAACCGAAAUACUUGAACAACUGUUAACAAUGGAUAUCUUGCUUCUC
rnacentral:misc_RNA from 1 species